rnacentral:tmRNA from 1 species
GGGGCCGAUUAGGAUUCGACGAAUUACACAAACUCUAAGGUGCAUGCCGUGGGGCGGUUGGCCACGUAAAAAGCCGCAAAAAAAUAGUCGCAAACGACGAAACUUACGCUUUAGCAGCUUAAUAACCUGCUCUUAGCACUUCUGCCCUAGCUUCCGCCAGUAAGACGGGGAUCAACAGAAGUUCAAACCCAAACUUGGAUAGUGCGGAUGCUCCCGCCUGAGAGCUGAACCACGAAAUUUAAUUCAGGAUAGCUUAAGUGUGGCGUGUUUGUCCGCAGCAUUUAAGUGAAAUUAAAGACAAACUAAGCAUGUAGUACCGAGGACGGCGGUACUUCGGACGGGGGUUCAAAUCCCCCCGGCUCCACCA